UACAUUCUUUACAAAUAUGGUCCUUGGC
rnacentral:piRNA from 1 species